rnacentral:rRNA from 1 species
CCCUGCCCUUUGUACACACCGCCCGUCGCACCUACCGAUUGAGUGGUCCGGUGAAGUCUCGGGAUUGUGGAAAUCUCCUUCACUGGAGUUUGUCUGCGAGAACUUGCCUAAACCUUAUCACUGAGAGG